rnacentral:miRNA from 1 species
UACAUAUGACUGUUUAUAACACU